AACGAACGUUAGCGGCGCGCCUAACACAUGCAAGUCGCACGAGAGAGGGCUUCGGCCCCGGUAAAGUGGCGCACGGGUGAGUAACACGUGGGUAACCUUCCCUCGAGCGGGGAAUAACAUUCCGAAAGGAGUGCUAAUACCGCAUAAGACCACGGCUUCGAAAGGAGCUGAGGUAAAAGCUGGCCUCUUCAUGAAAGCUAGCACUCGAGGAUGGGCCCGCGGCCCAUCAGCUUGUUGGUAGGGUAACGGCCUACCAAGGCUUAGACGGGUAACUGGUCUGAGAGGAUGAUCAGUCACACUGGAACUGAGACACGGUCCAGACUCCUACGGGAGGCAGCAGUGGGGAAUCUUGCGCAAUGGACGAAAGUCUGACGCAGCGACGCCGCGUGGGUGAUGAAGGCCUUCGGGUUGUAAAGCCCUGUGGGGAGAGACGAAUAAGUCUAGGCUAAUAUCCAAGAUGAUGACGGUAUCUCCUUAGCAAGCACCGGCUAACUCUGUGCCAGCCGCCGCCGUAACAC
rnacentral:rRNA from 1 species